AUCCUUCUAGGUCAUGAGAAUGAUGAACGGUGUGUUCACGGACCCUCCGUGAAAGGUACAGCCUUCAUUGUUACGCUCUGUGCCUCAAACCGUCUGAUC